rnacentral:piRNA from 1 species
UAAGUACCUAAAGGACAAAGC